UUAAGCGACUAAGCGUACACGGUGGAUGCCUAGGCAAUCAGAGGCGAUGAAGGACGUGCUAAUCUGCGAAAAGCGUCGGUAAGGUGAUAUGAACCGUUAUAACCGACGAUGUCCGAAUGGGGAAACCCAGUGCAAUUCGUUGCACUAUCGUUUGAUGAAUCCAUAGUCAAACGAAGCGAACCGGGGGAACUGAAACAUCUCAGUACCCCGAGGAAAAGAAAUCAACCGAGAUUCCCCUAGUAGCGGCGAGCGAACGGGGAGCAGCCCAGAGUCUUAAUCAGCAUCAGCAUCAGGAGAACGGUCUGGAAAGGCCGGCAAUAAAGGGUGAUAGCCCCGUAUCCGAAGGUGUUGGUGUUGUGAACUCGAUGAGUAGGGCGGGACACGUGUUAUCCUGUCUGAAUAUGGGGGGACCAUCCUCCAAGGCUAAAUACUCCUGAUUGACCGAUAGUGAACCAGUACCGUGAGGGAAAGGCGAAAAGAACCCCGGCGAGGGGAGUGAAAUAGAACCUGAAACCGUGUACGUACAAGCAGUGGGAGCCUUGAUUUAUCAGGGUGACUGCGUACCUUUUGUAUAAUGGGUCAGCGACUUAUAUUCUGUAGCAAGGUUAACCGAAUAGGGGAGCCGUAGGGAAACCGAGUCUUAACUGGGCGAAUGAGUUGCAGGGUAUAGACCCGAAACCCGGUGAUCUAGCCAUGGGCAGGUUGAAGGUUGGGUAACACUAACUGGAGGACCGAACCGACUAAUGUUGAAAAAUUAGCGGAUGACUUGUGGCUGGGGGUGAAAGGCCAAUCAAACCGGGAGAUAGCUGGUUCUCCCCGAAAGCUAUUUAGGUAGCGCCUCGUGAACUCAUCUUCGGGGGUAGAGCACUGUUUCGGCUAGGGGGUCAUCCCGACUUACCAACCCGAUGCAAACUACGAAUACCGAAGAAUGUUAUCACGGGAGACACACGGCGGGUGCUAACGUUCGUCGUGAAGAGGGAAACAACCCAGACCGCCAGCUAAGGUCCCAAAGUCAUGGUUAAGUGGGAAACGAAGUGGGAAGGCUCAGACAGCCAGGAUGUUGGCUUAGAAGCAGCCAUCAUUUAAAGAAAGCGUAAUAGCUCACUGGUCGAGUCGGCCUGCGCGGAAGAUGUAACGGGGCUAAACCAUGCACCGAAGCUGCGGCAGCGACAUGUAAAUGUUGUUGGGUAGGGGAGCGUUCUGUAAGCCUGUGAAGGUGUGCUGCGAGGCAUGCUGGAGGUAUCAGAAGUGCGAAUGCUGACAUAAGUAACGAUAAUGCGGGUGAAAAACCCGCACGCCGGAAGACCAAGGGUUCCUGUCCAACGUUAAUCGGGGCAGGGUGAGUCGACCCCUAAGGCGAGGCAGAAAUGCGUAGUCGAUGGGAAACAGGUUAAUAUUCCUGUACUGGUGAUAAUUGCGAUGGGGGGACGGAGAAGGCUAGGCUGGCCGGGCGACGGUUGUCCCGGUUUAAGGAUGUAGGUGGGCGAAUUAGGCAAAUCCGGUUCGCUAUACACUGAGGUCUGAUGACGAGUCACUACGGUGGCGAAGUAGCUCAUGCCCCGCUUCCAGGAAAAGCCUCUAAGCUCUAGAUUAUCAUUAAUCGUACCCCAAACCGACACAGGUGGUCAGGUAGAGAAUACUCAGGCGCUUGAGAGAACUCGGGUGAAGGAACUAGGCAAAAUGGUGCCGUAACUUCGGGAGAAGGCACGCUGGCACUAGGUGAAGUCCCUUGCGGAUGGAGCUGAAGCCAGUCGCAGAUACCAGCUGGCUGCAACUGUUUAUUAAAAACACAGCACUGUGCAAACACGAAAGUGGACGUAUACGGUGUGACGCCUGCCCGGUGCUGGAAGGUUAAUUGAUGGGGUUAUCCGUAAGGAGAAGCUCUUGAUCGAAGCCCCAGUAAACGGCGGCCGUAACUAUAACGGUCCUAAGGUAGCGAAAUUCCUUGUCGGGUAAGUUCCGACCUGCACGAAUGGCGUAAUGAUGGCCAGGCUGUCUCCACCCGAGACUCAGUGAAAUUGAACUCGCUGUGAAGAUGCAGUGUACCCGCGGCAAGACGGAAAGACCCCGUGAACCUUUACUAUAGCUUGACACUGAACAUUGAGCCUUGAUGUGUAGGAUAGGUGGGAGGCUUUGAAGUGUGGACGCCAGUCUGCAUGGAGCCAACCUUGAAAUACCACCCUUUAAUGUUUGAUGUUCUAACGUUGCCCCGUGAUCCGGGGUGCGGACAGUGUCUGGUGGGUAGUUUGACUGGGGCGGUCUCCUCCCAAAGCGUAACGGAGGAGCACGAAGGUUGGCUAAGCAUGGUCGGACAUCAUGCGGUUAGUGCAAAGGCAUAAGCCAGCUUGACUGCGAGAGUGACGGCUCGAGCAGGUACGAAAGUAGGUCUUAGUGAUCCGGUGGUUCUGAAUGGAAGGGCCAUCGCUCAACGGAUAAAAGGUACUCCGGGGAUAACAGGCUGAUACCGCCCAAGAGUUCAUAUCGACGGCGGUGUUUGGCACCUCGAUGUCGGCUCAUCACAUCCUGGGGCUGAAGUAGGUCCCAAGGGUAUGGCUGUUCGCCAUUUAAAGUGGUACGCGAGCUGGGUUUAGAACGUCGUGAGACAGUUCGGUCCCUAUCUGCCGUGGGCGUUGGAAGAUUGAAAGGGGCUGCUCCUAGUACGAGAGGACCGGAGUGGACGCACCGCUGGUGUUCGGGUUGUCAUGCCAAUGGCACUGCCCGGUAGCUAAGUGCGGAAGAGAUAACCGCUGAAAGCAUCUAAGCGGGAAACUUGCCUUGAGAUGAGUCUUCCCUGACUCUUUAAGGGUCCUAAAGGAACGUUUAAGACGAAGACGUUGAUAGGCUGGGUGUGUAAGCGUAGCGAUACGUUGAGCUAACCAGUACUAAUGAACCGUGAGGCUUAACCUG
rnacentral:rRNA from 1 species